rnacentral:tRNA from 1 species
GGAUGUAGCUUAGUGGUAAAGCUCUUGUCUAGCAUGCAUAAGGCCUGGGUUCAAUCUCCAGCACCA